ACUCAAAGGAAUUGACGGGGGCCCGCACAAGCGGUGGAGCAUGUGGUUUAAUUCGAUGCUACGCGAAGAACCUUACCUACUCUUGAAUCCACGGAAUCUUGCAGAGAUGCGAGAGUGCCUUCGGGAACCGUGAGACAGGUGCUGCAUGGCUGUCGUCAGCUCGUGUCGUGAGAUGUUGGGUUAAGUCCCGUAACGAGCGCAACCCUUGUCCUUAGUUACUAACGAGUUAUGUCGAGGACUCUAAGGAGACUGCCGGUGAUAAACCGGAGGAAGGUGGGGACGAUGUCAAGUCAUCAUGGCCCUUACGAGUAGGGCUACACACGUGCUACAAUGGUCGGUACAAAGGGCAGCGAAAUCGCGAGAUGGAGCAAAUCCUAAAAAGCCGAUCGUAGUCCGGAUUGGAGUCUGCAACUCGACUCCAUGAAGCUGGAAUCGCUAGUAAUCGUGGAUCAGAACGCCACGGUGAAUACGUUCUCGGGCCUUGUACACACCGCCCGU
rnacentral:rRNA from 1 species